rnacentral:rRNA from 1 species
GAUGAACGCUAGCGGCAGGCCUAACACAUGCAAGUCGAGGGGCAUCAUGGCGUAGCAAUACGCUGAUGGCGACCGGCGCACGGGCGCGUAACGCGUAUGGAACCUACCCACCGCAGGGGGAUAACCCGCCGAAAGGCGGACUAAUACCCCAUGGUUCCCCGACCCUGCCUGGGGUUGGGGGUAAAGCCUACGGGCGGCGGUGGAUGGCCCUGCGUGCCAUUAGCUGGCUGGUGGGGUAACGGCCCACCAGGGCGACGAUGGCUAGGGGGUCUGAGAGGACGAUCCCCCACACUGGUACUGAGACACGGACCAGACUCCUACGGGAGGCAGCAGUGAGGAAUAUUGGUCAAUGGGCGGAAGCCUGAACCAGCCAUGCCGCGUGAGGGAAGAAGGUUUUCGGAUUGUAAACCUCUGUUCUUGGAGAAGAGGAGAAGACGGUAUCCAAGGAGGAAGCCCCGGCUAACUACGUG